GGGGCUUUAGCUCAGACUGGGAGAGCACACCGCUGAAGACGGUGAUGUCCUGGGUUCAAAUCCCAGAAGCCCCA
rnacentral:tRNA from 1 species